rnacentral:rRNA from 1 species
UACGUAGGGCGCGAGCGUUGUCCGGAUUGAUUGGGCGUAAAGAGCUCGUAGGCGGCUCGGUGCGUCGGCUGUGAAAACCCGCAGCUCAACUGUGGGCCUGCAGCUGAUACGGGCGGGCUGGAGUUCGGUAGGGGAGACUGGAAUUCCUGGUGUAGCGGUGAAAUGCGCAGAUAUCAGGAGGAACACCGGUGGCGAAGGCGGGUCUCUGGGCCGAUACUGACGCUGAGGAGCGAAAGCGUGGGGAGCGAACAGG